GCAUGGCAUGUUGGGAUACCUUUCCCCCAUCAUGGCGGAUCAGGUAGUUGGCUAACGUUAACGAUUAGCACAUUCAACGAUUGUUUGCUUUCACACAAUUUAGGACUGUAGCCAUCUGGCCUUUUCUACACAGGGACUGCAGCCGUCGAACAAAAACUGGUGUUGAGUGAGGGAGCAGCACACCAGUGACAUUAAGAGGGCCUUCUACAAUAUCAGGGGCACCAGCACAAUGGAGUGUGCAGUGGACAUUCCCUCAGGUGAGGAUGAGGCACCUGAGAAAGAUGACAUGAAUGCCAAGGAAGGGAAUGAGCCACCCCACAAGAAAAACAAGAAGCACAGAAAACACAAGAGCAAGAAGAAGAAGAGAAGGAGGAAGGGGGAAAAGGAGAGCAGUUCAGAAUCUGGUGCUGAGUCGGAUGCAGAGCCACCACCUCCACCGAGACCUGUCAGGACCACCAGAGCCAGUGCCAGACUGGCAGCAGCUGCAGGAGCUGGAGACCAUGCAGGGCUGAAGGAGGAAGGCAAAAGGGAUGUAAUUACAGAUCGCGUGGACAUGGAGGGUGAUGCAAAAUCCAAAAAACACAAAAGACAUGCUGCCAAGAAGAAGAAAAAGAAGAGGAAGAAAGAUGAAAAGCAGGAAAAGAAAUCCCCAUCUCGCUCCCCAUCUGAAAGCAGCUCAGCUUCAGGUUCUGAGUCUGAAGGUGAAGGAGGUAAAGGGCCUGGUGAUGGCAAAUACUCUCCAGCUACAGCAUCUGACCUGCAAGAACCAGUCUCCAAACUGGUUCCAAAAAGCAAACGAGGGGAGGAGAAGGGGGUUCCCAUCCUCACGCAGAAACCUGAAUUGAUUGGACUGAAGAAAGAGGAGAUAUCAGAUAUGGAUGUGUCCCCAUCUGGAGGGAAAGACAGUAACACCAAUGGAUCAGAAAAGGAUAUGAGGUUGCCAUCUGCAGGCCAGGAUGAGAUAACACAGACAACGACACUUAAGGUUAAGACAGAGGGUAGUCAUGCUGAUGGUGCAUUUAGCCAUGCCCAGGAACUCCCUGACAUCAUCCCCAAACAAGAAGGUGCUACCCCAAGAGAUGACCCAGGCCUGAAAGAUCAGGCCAAUUCAGUUCAGAGGGCAAAGGUCAAAGAACGCGAUUCAUCCAGGUCCAGAUCUCCUUCCCUAUCCAGGGGCCUAGACAUUAAGAGGUCUGGGUCAAGUCAUAGUCGGUCACCAACACCUAGUCCCAGUAGGCAGCAGUCUGAUGGUCAAACAGAAGCGGCAAUGAAAGAACGGUCAAGAACCCAUUCCAGGUCAACCUCAAAGGGAAAACGUUCUACAACUCCUCUAAAGAGUCGGCAGCUGUCCCGCUCUCUGUCCCACUCUCAGUCCCCUAUAUCUAGGAGGAAGUCACUCUCCCCUUCCCCGAAGUCUCCCAAGAGAGCUAGCUGUCAGUCCCGGUCCACCUCUCGCUCCCUCACCCCCAAGAAGAAGGUUUCAAAACCAACAAGGAAAUCCAAGUCCCCUAAACGUCGAAAGAGUUCCCUGUCUGUUUCCCCAAAGCGACGCAGAAGUUCCCACUCUCCUAAAAGAAAGGUGUCGCGGUCCCCUAAACGCAGUGGCCGCAGGUCUCCCUCUUUAUCUCGGUCUCCAAGGAGAAAUCGAAGGUCAGAGUCACGUCCCCGUGGAGGCACAAGGCGCUCCAGGACCUGCUCACCUAGACGAGGUGGUGCAGUUGGCAGGCGUUCACGGUCACGUUCCAUCAAUAGAACCCGUCGCUCCCACUCAAGAUCAAGACGCCCUGUUCGUCGCUCCAGGUCACGAUCACCGGCAAGGCGAGCAGGAGGCAGGCGCUCCAGGAGUCGAUCCUUGUCUCGACGCAGGAGGUCCCCACCUCCCAGAUCCCGCCGUUCACGCUCCCGGUCUAUCCGCAGAAGCAGGCGGACUCGAUCACGUUCCGUUGUCGUCCUUAAGCGCAACCGCCGCUCCAGAUCCAGGAGUCCCCGCAAACGGACCAAAUCCAAAACCCCUCCCUCCCGACGGCGGUCUAAAUCCCGGUCGCCAGUCAGAAAGCGCUCUCGGUCCCCUGCCAGAAGAAAUCGUUCUCCACCAAGGUCUGGCAAACGCUCCAAAUCCCGCUCAUUGUCUCGAAGGCAACGGUCAAAGUCACCCUCACCACUACCUGGCAAGAAGAGGUCCAAAUCUCCUCGGAAGAGUGGAAGAAGGUCAAAGUCUAAAUCCGUCUCUGUGGGCUUAAACAGAUCUAAGUCCAGGUCCAGGUCUGAGUCAAGUGAUGGGCAGUCUGACAGCUCCUCCCCAGCCAGAUCCACAUCUUUCUCUCCUGUUAAAGAGAUGACGGUUGCCUCUCCUAAAUUAGAGGAGACAGGUGCUGGGAAGGCAGCUGGAGAAAGUGGAGGACUUUCAGCUACUGCAGGUGCAUGGAAACCCGUGCCCUCAGCAGCUGCCUCCAGCCCCAAAGCUGGGAGCUCCUCAGAUAAGUUGCAGGAGCAGCCGCAGACGCUUGCUGAGGAACAGAGGGAGUGUGUCAGCUCAUCCAAUGAACGAGAUGUUUCCAGGUCCAGGUCUGGUUCUAGAGAGGCAGGCACAGGCCCAGAUGGGUCAGAUUGUUCGGAAGGCUCGGAUGAAGAAGAGGAUUCUUCCUCUCCAGUUAAAAUGGCACCUGCACACCAGAGAAGCUCCUCAGGUUCAGCAUCUCCACCAGUGCAGAAGAAGCAGCUGUCCAAGUCACACUCACCUACGAUUUGCAGGAAACCUUCGCGCUCAACUUCUUCACCUCGUCGAUCAACAUCCAAGUCUGCAUCCAGAAGGAAGCCGUCUAGGUCCAAGUCUCCAGUGAGGAAAAGAGAAUCUGUCUCUCCAUCAGAAAGGAAGAAGCGACGGUCUAAAUCUCGGAGUCCUGCUCGGCGGCGGAGGUCACGCUCGCGCUCCGCCACACGGCGUAAGCAAUCAGGCUCCAAGUCCCGCACCAAAAUCCGCCGGUCCAAGUCCCGCUCUCCAACCCGCAAGAGGCGAUCCCGUUCACCCAACGCCCGUGGGAGGAGGAGGUCCAAGUCCACGGAAAGAAGCAAACGAUCCAAGAGCCGCUCCACAGGCCGGAGGAAAAGGUCCAGAUCAGGAGACAGAAGCAGGCGAUCAAGGUCUCGGUCUUCUGAUCGCAGACGCAGGUCUAGGUCGAGAGGUCGAGGGAGGCGCCCGGUGUUUCGCAGUCGUUCGUUUGAUAGGCGGGACAGGUGGAAAAGGGAACCUAGCCACUCUCCAGUUCUCAUUCUCCGCAAACAGCGCCGCUCAGGGUCCCGGACACGACGCAGCACCAGCAAGACUCCUCCACGGCUCACUGAACUGGAUAAGGACCAGUUGCUGGAGAUAGCCAAAGCUAAUGCUGCUGCCAUGUGUGCUAAGGCGGGGGUGCCCAUUCCUGAGAGUCUUCGGCCAAAAGCCAUCCUCCAGCUCCCUCUACCCACUCCAUCGCCUACCCCCCUUUCCUUACCUCUCCCUUUACCUCUCCCAAUGGGCAUGGGGAUGCCCAACAUGCCGAAUAUGCCCAACAUGGGUCCUUUGGGGAUGCCCAAUAUUCCAGGAAUGCCCAGCAUGUCAAACAUGACCAUGAGUGCUGCUAUGGCAAGUAUGACAGCAGCUACUAUGACAGCUGCUUUAACCAACAUGGGUGCCCUGGCAGCCAUGCCUCCCCUUGCCCCACUUCCUACCAUUACUAACAAGCCUCCCCCAUGUCUCGCCCCUCCAACACCAACCCUUAACCUGGACCACAUCGAGGAAGCAAAGAGGAAGGUCACUCAGCAGGCUAACAUACACACCAUCAAGGAGCUCACUGAGAAGUGCAAGAUGAUUGCAAAUAGCAAGGAGGAGAUGGCCAUUGCUAAACCCCAUGUCUCAGAUGAUGAAAGCUAAAACUGCCAAGCCCUCAUGUUGCUCAUAGAUCCAGCAGCAACAUACUCAUUGGCCAUCUCAAUUUGGAAUCAUUUUUUUUUAUUUUACCACACUGUAAUCACCACUGCUCUCAAAGGACUGAAGGAAAAUGUAAAAGAUGAUUUACAGGAGGACCUACCUUCCCACAGUUCCCUUUGGCAGCCAGACUGAGCCUCAUAAACCACCAAGAAGACGAACAAGAAGAGCAUCCUAGCACAGUUACAAUAUAGGAGCACCGGCACCAGCCACUGUCCCACUCAGCUCCCCAGUUUGUUUCUGUUUGUGUAAAAGAGAGACUGGCAGACUGUCACCUGUGAUACCACUGAGAAGACUGGACACACUGACGUGUGUGCACAGUUGUAUGACUGUAUAGUGACUGUGAGUCUGUGUGUAUAUAGUGACUUUCAACACCAACUCCUCAGUGUUGCUGCUCAUUUAAGCAGUCACUGUUGUAAAGCGGAAACAAACCAAACUAACUAGUGGCGCAAGUGUUUUUGUAAAAGAUUAGUUUCUCUAAAUUUGUUUUACUUCUAUCCUUUCUUAAAGAAUUGUGUUAAGUGGAGACUGCUUCCCUGUUCUGUUGUAUUCCCCUCUGUCAUCUCUAGUCCCUGGUUUUAUAAACAAAUAAUGCAGGUGAAGUUUUGGUAGAUCCUCACAUGUGAUUUGUUUUCACAAACCGGGGUCUCCAGGGCAAGAGAGGGACCACAUGUUGUGAAUCCUGGAACAGGGUGCCAGAUCAGAUUUUGAAGGAAGGGAAUAACUGAAUAUAUUUGCAGAAGAAGGUUUGAAUUUUGGCUAUGACAAAGAUUACCAUCUCCAUUCACAAAACAUAACUAAUUCAGUUAGCACUGCCCUGGGUGUGGUUUUCUUCCCCUCUAUUUUAAAUAGCACCAAGCUAAUCUUUGACUCUAACCUGGUCUUUUCAUUUGGGCUUUUUUGGGGUUCUUUUUCCAACUUGGAAACAUGUUUGCUGUAGAUUUAAAUGGACAUUUGAUCUGCCACCAACAUCCUAACAUGCAGUGUUGUGUGUUUUGCAGAAAACUAAUAUAUAAAAUAAUUUGAGAUGCACAAAAAGCAUACCAUUAGUAUUUGCUGGGAAUUGCAAUGAUAGCAGACUAGCAGACAUUUGGUUGAGUUCAAACUUUUGAAAGGUCCGUGUUUCUAUCAUUUGUCAUCUUGGUUUGAUUUUCUGAGUAAGUGUAAUUUGAAAGCAAUGCUGGUUAAUGGCUGUCUUGGAGAUCCAGAUGUUGGGACCUUACCAACAGGACAGAACCUACCAUAUUACCCAUAAUCCCAGAUUCAGAUCACAACAAAGAUCUGAUUGACUGGACCUUGAACCACCAAGCUUAAACUAUAUCAAUAUAACAUUUUUGUUGUGUUCCUGAUAAGAAACAUGGAUAAGAAUGCAACUUCCCUUAAACUUCACACUGUAAAAGGAGGUAAUUAUUACUUUUAACAUUUCUAUUUCACUGUGUGGCUGAAUACAUCAUAAACAAUUGGGAUUUUUAAAUACACUUUUGCUUUUUUGUUGCUGUUUACAUUAUUAAAACAUUUUCUUUCUGUGGCUUAUUUAGAGGCGAACACGGAGAACACAAUUCAUGUUAUUGCCCUGGGGCAGAGAAAUUACUUUGCUUAUAGAGGUGAAUGUAGAAAGUAAAGUAUGUCCUGAACUGUGCCGUUGUUCAGUUUUUGUGUAUUAGACAAUCAGGUUCUUUGUCUCAAGAAUAUAUUUUUGAAGCAAGAACUAAAACCACUUGAAAUUUACACAUCACGCAGCAUUGUUUUCAGGUGGCAAAUAGUUUUGGAUAACAGAAUGUGUCGUAAUGUGCAAACAUAAUGAAAAACCCAACAAGCCCUUUUCAUUUCAUCCACUGAUACAUUUAAUAUCUGCUUUACUUGUAAAUGCUGUUACCCUGGCCCGUAGUAGGUCUUCUUUGUGAGCUGUGUCUGGGUAAACGGGGUCUGUGUUUCGCUGAAUGCUUUUGUCCCACUGGAUAACUGAAGAGCAAAGACGAAUUUGGUGCUCUUUGGAAAACUGGCAGGGAUGAGGUUUUUCUGAUUUUGUAAGGAAUCUUGCGCUCAUAGCUCAUUUAUUUUCAUUGCAGAGCCAAAUAAUUCUGGAUCCCUCCUCCUUUGUCGACCUCCCAUGCCCAGGGCUGUUUAACUGUGGAAGAUAAUCUGUGAAGGUUUUGUCAAACUGUAACUAUACAGACUCUGUACCAAAAGUGUUGAACUGUUGAAUUGAUUCCCAGAGGUAAUCUUUAACUAUUUUAAAGACAGAAAAAAGAUGAAAAUGCAUUUUAGGAUUCUUUUUUUGUUUGUUGGUCAUUUGAGUAUGACAUCGCUUGCUUUGUACAUAAAUGUGUUGAUGAUUAUUAAAAACCUCAAUGAUCCGUA